UAAUUCAUUUACUUUUUCUCUCCUCCAUCUCUCCUUUCUUUGCGUCUAUUUUUUGUCGCAAUUCCUAAAGCUAUAAAUCUAUGAAGAUGAAAAGAUUCUUGCUUUCUCAAUUUGAAUUUUUUUUUCUCUUUUUCUCUUUCCCUUUCUCUCUCUCUCCAGAGUUGUUUUUCCCUUUUUAUCUUUCUAUUUAUGUCUCCACGAUUGUUUGAUGAUGGGUCUUUGGGUUUAAAGGAAGAUUUGACGAGUGAAAAGAGGCUCAGCACCUUCGUCAUUGCUGCGCUACACAAGUCAAAACUAUACAGGGAGAGAAUGGCGGAGAGGCGAGGGCGGCAAGUUUGGGUCGAUCGAAAAGUGGAGAGAGGGGAGUCAAUGCUGGCCGAACACAAGCAAAUGAAUGGAAAGAAAUAAAUAAAAAUGGAGGCGGAGGGCUGUGCACAAAUGGAGAGAAUGGAGAAGAUAGAUUUAGAUUGGGGCUGGUUUGGGUUGAUUAAGAUCCAGUUUGGCUCAAAUCAUGAGUUUUUACUUGGUUUGGAAUUUCUAAUGGGUUUAAAUUGGUUUAGUACAUAUAAAUGCCACGUGGAAUAAAGUAUGCUGAAGUGUUUUAAAAAAAUUACCACGUAAGAGCAA